UCCUAGCCCUGAUAGUAGCGGCAUCCUUUUUGGUUGUGGGCGGAGCAUAAACUGAAAGUUUACGAACGUAGUUCAGGAGCCCGUAACCAAAAAGAUAUAGCGGAUAGCAGGAAAUAGC
rnacentral:sRNA from 1 species